rnacentral:rRNA from 1 species
UACGUAGGGACCGAGCGUUGUCCGGAAUCAUUGGGCGUAAAGAGCGUGUAGGCGGCUAUUUAAGUCCUGCGUGAAAUCCUGCGGCUCAACCGCAGACGGUCGUGGGAAACUGGAUGGCUAGAGUGCGGGAGAGGAGAGUGGAAUUCCCGGUGUAGCGGUGAAAUGCGCAGAUAUCGGGAGGAACACCGGUGGCGAAGGCGGGUCUCUGGGCAGUAACUGACGCUGAGGAGCGAAAGCGUGGGGAGCAAACAGG